GUUUCACGCUCUAUUCUUCUUCCUGUGUUGACAGCCGGAGGAAGCACAUCCGCUGGGGCGGGCGUGGCGCUGGCCCCUUCUCUCCCGCUCCUCUGGGCUUGUUUGUUGAUGAAGCGGGAGCCGAGCCAGAGCAGCCGGCAGCUGCAGAUGCUAGGAGGGGCGGCCGCAGAGCUGCUCGGCUGGCCCUGCGGGAGCCUCGCUGACAAACGCAUUGGCUGCUUUGGGAAAAGAAACUGUUGACCGGAACACACUUCAGUGGGCGACCAUCACCUUCCUCUCCAGGGUCUGGGGACCACUGCUCAGAACUGGUCUUAAUGAUCUCAGCCUCCCGUUGGGGCCUAGGAGCCACCUGGUGGACCAAGGGACGGCCUACAAUGGCUUUCUUCCUAGACAGAAACGCCGCUAGGUCACCACUCAUGUUAUAUAGUCAGAAGCCUUGCUUUAAAAAUUAGAUUGCAAAGUAGAGUAUAUCUCAUAUAAUUAAACAU
rnacentral:lncRNA from 1 species